rnacentral:rRNA from 1 species
UACGUAGGUGGCAAGCGUUGUCCGGAAUUAUUGGGCGUAAAGCGCGCGCAGGCGGUCCUUUAAGUCUGAUGUGAAAGCCCACGGCUCAACCGUGGAGGGUCAUUGGAAACUGGGGGACUUGAGUGCAGAAGAGGAAAGCGGAAUUCCACGUGUAGCGGUGAAAUGCGUAGAGAUGUGGAGGAACACCAGUGGCGAAGGUGGCUUUCUGGUCUGUAACUGACGCUGAGGCGCGAAAGCGUGGGGAGCAAACAGG